UUGGGAGUCCUGUGAUCCCUUCUGUAUCUUUUAAGAAGUUAUUUUAUGUCUUAUAAUUGCCUCCAGCAUACUCACCAAUCUUGUCUAAGCUGAGCCUUCGGAUACAGAAGCUGAUUUGGAGGUGAUGGAUCAGAACUCCUUGGUUAAUUGUGAUGGUUGAGCUUCACAAUCAGCUUGACUGCGUCUGAAGCCAUAAAAAACGCAGCUCCGUGGUUCUCAAUGAAUAACAUGAGGGUGGAUUAAAAAGAAAGAACCAGUAUUCUUGAAUCUUUGGUGAACUCCAUUGAAAAAAAUCUUUGUGGAUUUGAACCUGGUCUUCAUGAGAUGCUAAUAGGAGGAAAGGAUUGUGUAUUUUGAAGCAGUCAAGUUCUCCAAAAGUCAUGCCUUGAGGAGUGGGUGGCAUUGAUGAGGGGCUCGCUGGGAAGAACAGGGGAGCUGGGGUGCUGUAGAAUUGAAUGGAGGUAAGGGUGGAACUCAAAGUUUUAAAACUAAUGUUACCACUGUGAGUCAACGGAGGGGAG
rnacentral:lncRNA from 1 species